rnacentral:misc_RNA from 1 species
GAUGAAGAACGUAGCGAAAUGCGAUACGUAAUGUGAAUUGCAGAAUUCAGUGAAUCAUCGAAUCUUUGAACGCAUAUUGCGCUCUCUGGUAUUCCGGAGAGCAUGCUUGUUUGAGUAUCAGUAAACACCUCAACUUCCAUAUCUUUUUUGAAAUGGGAGUUGGACUUGAGUGAUCCCAACGCUUUUCCUCACCGAAAAGUGGUGGGUUACUUGAAAUGCAGGUGCAGCUGGACUUUUCUCUGAGCUAUAAGCAUAUCUAUUUAGUCUGCCUAAAAAACAGAUUAUUACCUUUGCUGCAGCUAACAUAAAGGAGAUUAGUUCUUGUGCUGACUGAUGCAGGAUUCACAAGGACAGGCUUCGGCCGACUUUGUAAACUCGAUCUCAAAUCAAGUAAGACUACCCGCUGAACUUAAGCAUAUCAAUAAGCGGAGGA